ACUUAGGUAGUUUAAUAAAAAUAUUGAUUUGUGAUAUCAAAGAUAUAAUAUAAUUAUCUUAAGUA
rnacentral:tRNA from 1 species